ensembl:misc_RNA Metazoa_SRP Metazoan signal recognition particle RNA
GCUGGGGGUGGUGGUGCACACCUGUAGUCCCAGCUACUUGGGAGGCUGAGGCAAGAGGAUCACUUGAGCCCAGGAGUUUGAGGCUGCAGUGAGCUAUGAUUGUGCCACUGUAUUCUAGCCUGGACAACAGAGUAAGACCCUGUCUCUA